GUCCACGCCCUAAACGAUGUCGACUGGUUGUUGGGGUUUGACACUCUCAGUAACGAAGCUAACGCGUGAAGUCGACCGCCUGGGGAGUACGGCCGCAAGGUUAAACUCAAAGGAAUUGACGGGACCCGCACAAGCGGUGGAUUAUGUGGAUUAAUUCGAUGCAACGCGAAAACCUUACCUACCCUUGACAUGUCCGAGAGCCCGUAGAGAUAUGGGUGUGCCCCGAAAGGGAAUCGGAACACAGGUGCUGCAUGGCUGUCGU
rnacentral:rRNA from 1 species